UGUUUUGCAUUCGUGUAAAACUGUGCAGCUAAAUGCUAAACUGUAGUUUUUGUUUGUAAUUUGAAACCACAGACUUCUUCUGGCAGUGACAUUUGUAAACAUUAGUGGCCACGAUGUUUUCAUGAAAGUGAUACAAUAGUUUAUUCUUUGGUGAGGAAGAGAAAUACUGUGGAUACAGGAAAUGUGAGGAUUGUGGAUGUAAACCUUUCUUUUGGCGGGGAUGCAGCUUAUCUUGUUAGCUAGCCUGGUCAGUUUGCUGACUAGCCUGGUUACGCAUUUAAAUUACAACAAAAAUAAAACUUGAGUUUUUGUACUCAACACAGUAAUCAACAAUAACCGCUAAUAAACUACAAUUAAAGCUCAUUUGAAUGUAUUUGAAUCUGAAAUUGGUGGAUGACAACCACAGUUGUAAAAGUCUGAGUUUAAAAAAAUAUGGUUGACUCCUUGAUGUGAUUAGGCUAACUAUACUCCAACAACAACAACAACAAUAAUAAUAAGCGAUCCGACCCCGGAUAAGCGGCGGAAGAUGGAUAAUAAUAAUAAUAAUAAUAAUAAUAAUAAUAAUAAUAAUAAUAAUAAAUCACUGCUAAGUGGCUUGUGAAACAUAAAGGCUCCAGUAAAUGGCCGUUUUGGCCAGAGAAACAGUCCGGGUGGGUCCAACAUAACGACCGCGGCUCUGUGGUUCCGGAGGUGCAUCGUGACGAAGGCAGAACACCAGCAGCUCUCCGGCGCAGCUUGGCUUCCCGGAACCUGCCGCUUUUCCAAAUGCAGCAUCUGCUUGUGCGCCCGCUUCCCCUUCUCUCCUCCCCGGACCGGCACCGACAGAGCUCGCCUCAGAUGAGGAGUUUGCUGCACUCCGAGCUAAGUGAUCUGCAGCUGCACCACAAUCUCCACAAUGUUGUUGGGUGGGGAAAAAAAGUCACAACCAAAAGACUUUAAAGAUUAAUUGAUUGUGAAGAAUAUAUGCUGAUGUGAGCUGAUAACUAAUGACUUCCCUCUAAGGUCAUUCUCCACUGUGUCAGCAGUUGCUACAAUCCAUUGCAAAUGUGUCUGACAUCCUAAUGUAUUUUUUUCAGACCUGGUGGCCACAGGUUUAUUCCAGGCUGUAGAAUUUUUCAGACGCUCCAACAGGCUGGAUUCAGCAGCAGUCGGCACGAGCGACAGCCUGGUUGGGCUCCGUCUAUGAAGAUGUCACUUGCCGUGCUUCAAAACAGGAGUGAACGUUGCUAAUGUUUAGAUUUUUAAAUUGAUUUGUUCAUUUCGUUGCUGCAACAUUGCUGCAAUCAAAACCUGCCAGUAAUUUUCCAUUCAGCUUGCCAGCCGCUAUCACUUCAUCAGCUUAACCUCACUCCCCAGUAUUUAAGCUGCUACUGCCCACUCGCUCUCAGCCAGAUUGUUCUGUGCACUGCAAUACAAAGCUCUGUCCCACCAGCCUCUGACUAACCUGAUUUGAUAUUUCCCCUGGGAAAAACACCUCUUGCUCUUUUUCUUCACCACAAAUUCACCCCAACUUGUGCCUUUUAUCUGCUGUACUUCUGGUUCAG
rnacentral:lncRNA from 1 species